CUGGUAUUCCCAUCUCUUUCAGAAUUUUCCACAGUUUAUCAUGAUCCACAUAAUAAUGUUUCUAUAAUCCAGCUUAUCUAAUAUUCUAUUCAAAAUUUUUAUUUUCUUUUUUAACAGAAUUUAGUUUCUAGUUCUAAAAUGAUGACUUAUUAUUUAUUACAUAUUUUAAAACCUCCAAAUCUCAGUGCAAAAAUAUUAAUGUGUACUUCCACGUGGAUACUUUGCAAAUACACAGAAAGCUUCUGUAAAAAAACUCUAACAGUAACAGCAUUAUAUAAACAUUUGUAGUAAUGUUUAUUUAUGGACAUAGGGUUAAAUUCUGCUUCAAAAAGCAGGGAGAUCAGAAAGUUAAAAAAAUAAUUAAUACACGAUUCAAUUCUGGAAGUAACAAUGAUGACAGGCUUUUUAUAAACUACAGUUAAAAUGGAACAUUCAAAGUGAUACAUUUAUGUUCUCUGAAAGAUCUAUGAUCUUGGUCACAAGAUACAUUGGUUUUUUAGUGUAAAAUCAUUUACUGAAACUGUAAAUUUUGUUUUCAAAAGUUAUUUCUGUCAUUGUUUUAACCUUAAUUUAUUUCUUAAUUUAAUAGCCUUACCUUUCUUCUGCCAAAGGAAAAGUCUUAGUUCUAGUUCUUUCAUGGUGCUUUUAGAUUUUUCUUGAACUCUGAAGAUAUUAGGACAAAAUUUCCUAUGCAUGUACAUAAUCAAAAUUCCUAGCACAAUGUCAUGCACAGGGACUUAAUUUGUGUUUUAAAUUAUCUAUAUUGGUUCAAUUUGGUGCCAUGAAAAUUGUUUGAGCAUUGUGCUAGACAUUGUGGGGAAUUUUUUAGAAACCUAAUUUUAGUCAAGGAGGAGGUCAGAAAGUUUAAAAAAUAAAUAAUUAGAUCACAAUGCAAUUUUGGAAGCAACAUAAAGUACACAAAUAUAGACAGAAAGGAAUGAUGAAUUUUUCUGCGGUUGUAAGACAGAGCUUCAUGGAAGGAAAAAAAAAAAAAAAAAGCGUUAAAGGCAAAAUAAGAUGUCUGUGCUUCCCUGGUAGCUCAGUUGGUAACGAAUCUGGUCUACAAUGCAGGAGACUGAGGUUCGAUCCCUGGGUAGGGAUGAACCCCUAGAGAAGGAAAUGGCAACCCACUCCGAUAUUCUUGUGUGGAGAAUCUCAUGGACAGAGAAGCCCGGCAGGCUUCAGUCCAUGGGGUUGCCGAGAAUCAGACACAACUCAGCGACUAGACCACUAUUGUACUGUCACUCUUAUGGAAAGAAAAAAAAUUAAUGGUUCCACAUUACUGCAGAGUAAACUGUAGCUUGUAGAGUGGCAAGGUGCAUAUUAUUAAUCAGCAAACAAACAGCUACUUCUUUCAUUUCUAAAAUAGUUGAGCAUUGAAUCAACAAAAUAAAAAGUUAUAAAAGAUACAACAAAUGUAAACCAAUUUCCUAAAAUAUGUUACAACAUAUUCAUAUUGAAUGUCCCAAACUUGAGAGUUGUAAUUUUUUAAAGUUUUAUAAAACUUUAUAAAGUUUUAUCAAAACUUCUUAUAGAUGUUUAUAAUUUUAUAAGCAUUAUCCUUUUGCUCAUUAUUCAUCAAGCCUGAUAUUAAAUUAANNNNNNNNNNNNAUGUUUUAAAUGGCCUGUAAAAUAUUUUUUUAUCAACACUUUCAAAUAACUAGGAGGAAUGGUAUUUGCUUAACAGACUAAAGGCCUAAACUAAUAAAUACAGCCAGUAAUUUACAGAACCCACUUUACGUGGUAGAGCUAACAAGGAUGAUCACAUUAAUCAUUCUUAUCCAACAGAUGAAACUUUCUAGUAUAAAACAUGCUAUGAGAGAAAAAUGCGUAAAAAUGGUUAAAUUUAUUUCCAGAAUUGCUUAUAUGUGGAAUCCCCAAAAAAGAAUACAAAUGAAUUUACCUACAAAACAUAUAUAGAAUUAUAGAUGUAUAAAACAAAUUUAGGAGAAAGAAAUGGCACCCCACUCCAGUAUUCUUGCCUGGAGAAUCUCAAAGACAGAGGAGCCUGGCGGGCUACAGUCCAUGGGGU
rnacentral:lncRNA from 1 species